UACGUAGGGGGCAAGCGUUGUCCGGAAUCAUUGGGCGUAAAGAGCGUGUAGGCGGCUCGGUAAGUCCGUUGUGAAAGCCCCGAGCUCAACUUGGGAAUUGCAGUGGAUACUGGCAAGCUGGAGUGCGGUAGAGGAAGGUGGAAUUCCCGGUGUAGCGGUGAAAUGCGUAGAGAUCGGGAGGAACACCAGUGGCGAAGGCGGCCUUCUGGACCAGCACUGACACUCAAGCACGAAAGCGUGGGGAGCAAACAGG
rnacentral:rRNA from 1 species